GGGAUGGGGACUCAGGGCGGGGCACACGGAAGCAACUGCAAGGACUAAGGGAGUCCGCAGCCUGGGGCAUUGGAGCCCUUCGCCAUACCCCUGGUGCGUCCUCACCCCCUCAGCCCGUGCUUCCCAGGGCGGGUAUCCUCGGAAGGCCCGGCCCUCACAGCCUUGGCAGGCCAAGGUCAGAAUGAUUGGAGUUGGGGGAUGGGACGGGGGCAUCCCUCCAGGACCAGCUCUCCAGGAGGCCACAUUCUUUCUGCGGGAACCACUCCAAAGGGGCAUGCUGUUCCAGGCAGCCCCUCGCGCAGACACUCCGGCUUUGUCGAGCCCACAGCCACACGCCUGAAGUCCUGCAACUCAGGAGAGGCGGAGGGACCCCUUCCAGGCAAGUGGCCACUCAACACUGACCCUCCUCUCCCAUUUCAGAUGUGAUCUCACCAUCACCCAGGGUGGAGUGCAGUGGCGCAAUAGCUCACUGCAGCCUUGAACUCACGGGCUCAAGCAGUCUUCCUGCCUCAGCCUCCUGAGUCCUGGGACCACAGGCGCACGCCACCAUGCCCUGCUAAUAUUUUUAAGUUUUUGUAGAGAUGGCGUCUCAUCAGCCGUAAUCAAGCCCCCUCUCCAGGGCCAUGGCACACAGGCUGGUCCCGGGAGACAGGCUGGCUGCUUCACCUCCCCACUGCCAUUGCCACACAACUCACUCCUGGGACAGUGCACCUCCUCCACACCGAGACAUGGAGUCCCUGUCCCAAAGCCACACCUGGCUGCCAGGUGUCCCAAGCCACCUCUCUGGACUUGGAAGGAAAUGGGGACACUGUCUCAGGUUGGAACCUGUAAGGGGCUGACUUGUGUCCCCACUAAUUCACAGGUUGAAGCCUGAACCCUCAGGACCUCAGAAUGUGACUGUGUUUGGAGAUAGCAUCUUUAAGGAGGGAGUUGAGGUCACUGGGGUGGGCCCUAAUCCAGUCUGACUGGUGUCUUUAUACAAGGAGAUGAUUAGGACAGAGACGUGCAUAGAGAGAUGAUGCCGUGAGGACACGGGGAGGAGACAGCAUCUUCAGGCCUAGGAGAGAGGCUCAGGAGGAACCAGGCCUGCCCGCACCUUGGCCUCAGCCACCCAGCCUCCAGGACUAGCAGACUGGGAGCUAACAGCCCUUUCCUGUUGGCUGCCUCUUCCCCAAGCCCAGCGCCCCCUGCCCAUGCCUGUCAGAGCUCACAUCCCACCCUGCCUGCCAAGCCUACUGGCUCACCUGCAGCAUCUGGAGGGGCGCCUGUGUGCUCCGCUCCUCCAGCUGCAGCAGCAGCAGCUCCAGAGAGUGACCCUGCCAGUCCAGGCAGGCCACGCUCUCCCGGAGCCUGCUGGCGGUCUCCUCUUCUUCCGUCUCCAGAGCCUGGAGGAGCCUCUGCUCUUCUUCCACCAGGUAGAGGUUCAUCUUCUCAAACUCCAGCACAAUGCGUUCUCUCCGCUCCUUCACCUUGCCCUGCAGGAGUGGAGAAGCCCGGCAUGUUGCCAGCAGGUGGCUCAGCUCCAGGGAUGCUGGCACCUCUCCCCAGGGCCCUGGUGACCCACAAGAUCACCAGCAACUGGAGCUUUAGUUGGGGACCAGGAACUGUGACAGAGGCCCCCACCUCUGCUAUCCUGUGAUACACUGAGUGUAACCCUCUGAGCCCCGAACUGCAACUUCUACACAUCCAAACACCCAUGCACCCUUGCUCUGAGGAGGUUCAGAAUGUCCACCCCCAGAUAAGCCUCUUGGGCAUGUUAAACAAAAUUUAUGGGUG